UAGCCGUAGGUGAACCUGCGGCUGGAUCAUUAUCGAGCUAACCAAAAAACUCUAGUGCUUCUUGCGCUAGUGCGUGGUAGGAUCAUGUGCGGUACAUUUGCUUGAUGUACGACUGCACGCCACAAGUGUCCCAACGGCUCCCGGUUGGCGUCUAUCUGGUGCUGAGCAGCUGUUGCCUAUGUCCGUGGCUGUGACGACGCAUCAGGGUAGCGCAUACGUCCCUUCAAUGGGGUAGCGGAUGCGUAGACUCAAUGAGCACCAUGCCUGGGUGCUGCCAACCAAACCAUUUUUUUCAAUGAAUUUUUCUUAAUGAAAGACAAAUAUCAGUCUUACCGGUGGAUCACUCGGUUCGU
rnacentral:misc_RNA from 1 species